rnacentral:lncRNA from 1 species
UUGCAAUGUGUAGCAGCGGGGAUGACCAGGAAAACGCUCUGAAAGUAGCUAGAGAAUCGAUGGAGAAGAUUGAAGAAGAGAUUAAGGGGAAGAAGUUUUUUGGAGGAGACAACAUUGGAUACCUUGACAUUGCCCUUGGAUGGAUCUCCUACUGGCUUCCUGUUUGGGAGGAAGUUGGAUCCAUGCAGAUAAUGGACCCAUUGAAGUUUCCAGCUACCAAUGCAUGGAUCACCAAUUUUCUGAGCCACCCUGUGAUCAAGGACAACUUGCCCCCAAGAGACAAAAUGCUUGUUUACUUCCACAGUCGCAGAAAGGCACUUUCUUCAUCUCUUCAGGGUUGGUUCAAGGUUUAGAUCUGUUCUCUCUCCAUGUUUCAUAGGC